GGAGUUUGGGCCGUGUCUCAGUCCCAAUGUGGGGGACCUUCCUCUCAGAACCCCUACCGAUCAUCGGCUUGGUGGGCCGUUGCCCCGCCAACUACCUAAUCGGACGCACCCCCAUCCCAUGCCUCGAAAUUUAGCCGAACGGCCAUGCGGCCAUCGGGCGCCAUCGGGAGUCACUCCCCGUUUCCAGGGGCUGUGCCCGAGCAUGGGGCAGGUUGGAUACGCGUUACUCACCCAUCCGCCGGUCGCCGCCGGGAGGGAUUGCUCCUUCCCGCGAUGCCCCUCGACUUGCAUGUGUUAGGCCUGUAGCUAGCGUUCAUC
rnacentral:rRNA from 1 species